GCCGAUGUGGCUCGACUGAGAAAGGCGUCCGCCUUGUAAGCGGACCUAUCCUGGUGCGAAUCCAGUCAUCGGCU
rnacentral:tRNA from 1 species